rnacentral:rRNA from 1 species
UAGGGAAUAUUGCGUAAUGUGCGAAAGCGCGACGCAGCAACGCCGCGUGUGCGAUGAAGGCCUUCGGGUUGUAAAGCACUUUUUGAGGAGAAGAGAGAGGACGGUAUCCUCAGAAUAAGCUUCGGCUAACUACGUGCCAGCAGCCGCGGUAAUACGUAGGAAGCGAGCGUUAUCCGGAUUUAUUGGGCGUAAAGCGCGUGCAGGCGGUUUGGCAAGUUGGGUAUGAAAGCUCCUGGCUUAACUAGGAGAGGUUGCUCAAAACUCCCAGACUAGAGGAUGGUAGAGGAAGGUGGAAUUCCGGGUGUAGUGGUGAAAUGCGUAGAUAUCCGGAGGAACACCAGUGGCGAAAGCGGCCUUCUGGACCAUAACUGACGCUCAGACGCGAAAGCUAGGGGAGCAAACGGG